AAAAACGUCCCGAUGAGAGACGCUGUAAAGGAUCUUUAUUUUUACUCUUUUCAGGACAAAAACCUGAAGAGAAGCGUGACCAGCCCCGGCUCCGUGUGCGAGUGGCUGAGCUCGAACCCCGCUGGAGCUGCUGAGAAGGGGAACGUGCAGCUGGAGAACCCAAACCCCUGUCCCCGGCAGCGCACCUGGAGCGCCCGCACCUUCCACGACCUCCUGGCCCCCAUCCCACAGCUGCAGAAGAAAUGGUGCAGCUGGACCACCACCAACAGCCCCUUCACCAAGCUGGUUGACAGUGGCGGUUUUUCUACAGCUGCAAGAUCCCAAGGUGUCCCAACCAGAAAGGUAAUCUCAGCCACUGAGAUAGAGGGAGCAUCAGAGACCAUUUACUCUGAUUCAUCUGCCAGUAAUGCCUCCUACCCCCUCACUCAGUCUGCACAAAGGCAGCGGAAGCUAACCUCCUGCAAUCUGAAGAAAUCCAGAUUUGGGAACUCUUAUUUUGGAUUUUUAGCCAGUUCCCCUGACAGCAAACCUGUGAGGUCCUUGGAUCCCUCAAGACAUCUAGGGGCAGCAACUCCAGUCAACAGCCAAAGCCCCAAAAACCUUCUAGAGAGCUCCAACCCACUGAAAAUCAACUUGGUCAACGGUUCGAAAACAAAGGAGCUUCUGGUAGAAACAGACAAAAACAAACCUGUUUUUGUUAUUUCUGAGGAAGGGGAUGAUCAGCAGCCUCUGGUCCUCGCAGAACAUCUCAGUCAGUGUGGAGAUCUGUCAGAGCAAAGUGCUGUGUAUGCAGUGCCAGACAAACAGCCCGUGGCUCUGACUGUGGAGGGGAACAGUUCCACCACUUUCACAUCGAAUCUUCCCCUUUGGGCAAAAUCUCCUGCUUUAUACAAAGGUCACACAAAGGCCCCCGGCCCCUCCAGGGACCAGCAGAGCUCAGCAGGUGUAGAUGCCAACACCACUGAGACCUCACAGGACUGUGACAGCCCAGCUGCUCCUACACUAUGCCAAGCUUCAGUCCAGUGAUGCCCUUGGAAGGACUGGAACAUCAGUUCACCAAAACAGAGGGAACAGGGACUUGACCAGAGCAGAAGCUGUGCCAAGCAGUUGAGUGCAGCUUUGUUAAGAGCAGCCUUUGCUUCCCACACCCUGGGACUGAGAUUAUGAGGAUACAAACCACAGCACAGCACAAAUGCCAUCGUCCCUUAUGCUCACUGACCUCCUCUCUCUUCUUUUGCAUGAAAUUUUGAAGUGGUUUGUACAAGAAAACAUCCUCUGAAAAGGCACUUCAGGCUGCAGAAACCCUUAUCUGGAGUAGGAAUGAAAGUCAUCUGGGAUGGUCACAGCGUGGUUUAUAUCUGAAAUGUAAAUGUCCCCUGUCCCUGUGGUGUCACUUGAGUCUUUCUGUUGGGAGCUCUGAGUUAUCUAUGCCUGUACAACCCAAGCCUUGCCAAGCCAAGGGUAAGAAUUCAAUCAUGCAUGUUUGCAUACAGUUUUGUAAACUUAAUUUUAAGCAUUUCAUAACUUCUGCACUCUAGCACAAAGCUUACCAAGCAUUAGCAUCUCUAUUAUCAAAGCCCAUGAUUAGCUCAUAUCCUAACUCUUUAGAGGAGUGUACAGAUGAGCUGAGCAACCCAACACCAGAUGCUUGUUCUAUAAAAGUCUGAUGUAGCUUUAUCUUUGUUAGAUCUACAUAGGCUUAGAACACCUCAGUCCACUACAUUAAGUGACUCCUCAUGGCAACAGGAGCAUGUGUACAAAAACACUGAAAUACUAGGAAUAGUCUUCAGCAUCCAACCCUUGGAUAUUUGCAGCUGCUCUGAUCCUACAUCCACCAGCUAUUUAUUGCUGGUAACGCACAUUGACUGCAGAACUAUUUCCCUUCCUUUAGCAGGCAGGACUUAAAAGACAAAAUUAAGUGGGGCAAACUUUGAGUGCUUUCUUUGGAAAUUAACUCCUAAGUGGCUGUGCCUCCCUGAGUACAAAGCCAGGGCAUUCAAUGGAACACUGAACCAAAGGGAAGCCUGCUAGUCUCAUUGCCUUCAAUAACCCCAUCAGUAUUUUAAUUGCCUCUUGGUGAUAUUUUCCUAUCUCUGCAAGACUCCUGCAUGUUUGGCCCACAAUUUAGAAUUAUUUUCCUUUCUUAAAUGAAAAGAAUUCCUUCUGAAGCUGUAUUUUGCAGCUGACACAGCACAUUGUUUUGAAGCAAUAGUAUGUCAUAAAACAGGUGUCAGAAGGAAAUCUUCCACACGAGUCUUCCCCUGCAUUGGCUACAGUGUGCACCCAGUUAUUUUAAUCCUCCUCUGUGAAGGCAUUAAGACUGAUUCCUGAAAUAUUUAACUGAAUUAUUUAUGAUUUCACCUGCUAUUACAGCUUCCACUUGCCACCUAUUAAUGUCUAAGAUAUGCAGCACAAGUAGGUUUUGCCUUAUAUUUUGUGUGUGUGUUUACAUGUCUACACAGACAUAGAAGCCUCGCAGCAGUGGAAGCAAAAACACAUAUGCCCUUUAGCAGUUGACUCGAACAUGAACAGCAAACAAAUCUCUGCAUCUAUUACUACCAGACUGUGUUGAGUAGUUUUGAAGUGCAGGAGUCUGGCUCCACGUUGGUUGCUUCUUUUUUGUGGGGUAUUUUUUUGUUGUUUAAAUUAAUGCUACUUGAUUCAAAGGGAAGAGUUAAUAUAUUUAUGAUUUAAAAAAUAUUUAGAAGUCUUCAGCACUCUAACAAUAACUCCCACUGCAUUAAAUUCAUACACAUUGUAAUUCAGAGUCAGUGUUCUGUUACUUAUUACAUUUCUAAAGAUUGAAGUACUAAAAUCUACUUUUGACAAGUCCUUAUGUUCAGUUAUUGACAAUAGCUACAUUUGAAGGGCUGGAAAAAGUGGCUUUUUCAAUAAAAGCAUGUUUAACUAUUAAUUUGCA
ensembl:lncRNA